rnacentral:lncRNA from 1 species
GAGGAGUCGAAGUCGAUCCUGCUAAAAAAAAAAUAAAAUAAAAUAAAGAGAAAAAAAAACAAUACUAGAGACGCCUGAACCGAAAAAAAAGAGAGAAAGAAAUCAAUGGUCAGGUGGAAUGAUGACUGCCAAGGGGCAUGGAAAAAUGAAAAAAGAUUAAGUUGCAGGAACCUCCGAUUCUAAUGCCUCCCGUGGAAGGAAUAAAUGUUG